rnacentral:rRNA from 1 species
GAUGAACGCUGGCGGCGUGCCUAAUACAUGCAAGUCGAGCGAACAGACGAGGAGCUUGCUCCUCUGACGUUAGCGGCGGACGGGUGAGUAACACGUGGAUAACCUACCUAUAAGACUGGGAUAACUUCGGGAAACCGGAGCUAAUACCGGAUAAUAUAUUGAACCGCAUGGUUCAAUAGUGAAAGACGGUUUUGCUGUCACUUAUAGAUGGAUCCGCGCCGCAUUAGCUAGUUGGUAAGGUAACGGCUUACCAAGGCAACGAUGCGUAGCCGACCUGAGAGGGUGAUAGGCCACACUGGAACUGAGACACGGACCAGACUCCUACGGGAGGCAGCAGUAGGGAAUCUUCCGCAAUGGGCGAAAGCCUGACGGAGCAACGCCGCGUGAGUGAUGAAGGUCUUCGGAUCGUAAAACUCUGUUAUUAGGGAAGAACAAAUGUGUAAGUAACUAUGCACGUCUUGACGGUACCUAAUCAGAAAGCCACGGCUAACUACGUG